rnacentral:tRNA from 1 species
GCCCGGGUGGCGAAAUCGGCAGACGCAGCGGACUUAAAAUCCGCGGCCCCUCGCGGGGCAUACGGGUUCGAGCCCCGUCCCGGGCACCA